ensembl:lncRNA
GGUAGAUCAUGUGGACAAACUGUUUUUCUCAACAGUGUCUCCUGAGAAACUGUUAGCUGAACCAACUAAUGACUAUCUUAGACCAACCAGAAACCAGCUAUGAGCCAAACAUCAGCUGCCAGUUUGAACAGGUUUUUACAACAAUUUAUUUUGUUCCAUUGAAAAUAACGUAAAAUCACGUUGCUAAUAUUAUUAUUUGACGAUACCCGUUGUAACUGUGGUGUUUUGGCAGAGAUAUUGUAACCAUGGUAAUUUUGUAAGGCUACUGAAAUCAUUUGCAUAUGUAAUAUGUUUGUGUGAUUCGAGCUUCAUUUGUUGAAAUCUCUCUCUCGUGUACUGAAAAGAUCUUGCGUGGGUUGACUGAGUGGCGAGCGCAGGAGAGACUAGUUUAACGCUUCUCUGGCCGCCAGUGUCUAUCGGAUCUGUCAGGUGUAAACCGCUCUCACGAACCUGAUCCGCCGCGAGAUCAUCUCCAAACCAUCAGCGCGCCUCCAGAGACCUGCAGCCGCUUACUUCGGGACAUACAGAAGAGCGCCAACUUUACAGCAGCGGCUCCAGCUCUUAGAUGUGCGCCUGGGAAAAGUCUGUUGUAUGAGAGAAAAGACAAAUGCCGUCUUAAGCGACGUUGUUAUUCAAAGAGAUUAAAACAAACGAACACGAGCAAAUUGUACGAAGAAAUCGGAGAGCUCGAGAUUAACUGAAAGCUACCCAUGAAAAUGGGUUGAAGAAAAGAAAAGAAAGGAGAGUCUAUGUUUUCUAUCUCAAACUAUACAGAUCUUAGUGGAUUUCAGGGAUUAGAUUUAUAUCUUUUUGCUGCUGUUCCCCAUUUUCCACUGUGCUACCUCAGCAUGUGGGAUUUGUGUGUAGCACAGCAGAUCUCAAGAUGACUGGAUUUUAUACUGGGUUUGUGGAAGCCGUGCUCUGUAGAUGUUAUUUCUGACUGUAUUAUAGGCAUUUAUUUACAUCACUUAUGAUUUCAUGUCGUCACAUGGAUCUUUUUGUCGGGAAAAGCUAUAAGCCGAUGCCCAGAACUGUCUUUUUUCUUCAUACAUCAUCUUUCUUCACUAACUUGAAGCUUGGAGGAUGCAAAUUAUUGACUUUUAAACUCCUUUACUGAGAGCUUUACCACCUAUACUUUUUUACAAGGAUUCAUGGAACAUUAAGAUGCAGUCGAUGCAUAUAACACUGGUG